rnacentral:rRNA from 1 species
UACGUAGGCAGCAAGCGUUGUUCGGAGUUACUGGGCGUAAAGGGUGUGUAGGCGGUUUUUUUAAGUUUGGUGUGAAAUCUCCCCGGCUCAACUGGGAGGGUGCGCCCGAAUACUGAAAGACUAGAGUGCGGGAGAGGAAAGUGGAAGUUCCUGGUGUAGCGGUGAAAUGCGCAGAUAUCAGGAGGAACACCAAUGGCGAAGGCAGCUCGCUGGGACGUGACUGACGCUGAGACGCGAAAGCGUGGGGAGCAAACAGG